GGGGCGACUGGAACACAACAUGGCGGCCUGAGGGGAGCGCCGGCCGCGGGGCCGGGGCGGGCUCGGCCGCUCCUCCGCCAGCCCCGGCAGCUGCGGCACGGCGCGGGAGGCACAGUAAGAGGUCUUCACUUCUGACUACAGCAAAUUCAGAUUUAGAUGGCCUAAUUAGUUUAUGAUGCAGCAUGAUUGAUAAUGAUCAGAAAACAGAAGUAGCAGAUGAUAAAAAUGAGAAGAGCACCUGACAAUUCUCAUGCUUUCUCCACUGUAAGGCUGUGUUUAUACUUGUAAAUUAAACAUAUCUGGAAAUCUUCUUGGACACAAAGAGCAGCUGGCAUGAAACAGCCCUCAUCUCUGCUAGUAAAUUCUCUUAUCUUCCAAAACAAGGCAGAAGGACAGAAACUGCUUGAGAACUGACCUUAGAAGGAGUCCUCACACCAGGCAGGGAAGGUGCCUCACAAAGUGCUGAUUGUCACAGGCCAAGUCCCUGCCAGUUGCUAAGAUAAGGAGAGGGAAUAUUUCCUGAUGUUCUGGAGA